rnacentral:rRNA from 1 species
CCUACGGGUGGCAGCAGUGAGGAAUAUUGGUCAAUGGCCGGAAGGCUGAACCAGCCAUGCCGCGUGAAGGUCAGUGCCCUAUGGGCGUUAAACUUCUUUUGUGCGGGAGCAAUAAUGGUCACGUGUGGCCAGACGAGAGUACCGUACGAAUAAGCAUCGGCUAACUCCGUGCCAGCAGCCGCGGUAAUACGGGGGAUGCAAGCGUUAUCCGGAUUUAUUGGGUUUAAAGGGUGCGUAGGCUGGGAGGUAAGUCAGCGGUGAAAUGCCCCCGCUCAACGGGGUGAAGUGCCAUUGAUACUGCCUUGCUUGAAUGCGGAUGCGGUGGGAGGAAUGUGUGGUGUAGCGGUGAAAUGCUUAGAUAUCACGAAGAACUCCGAUUGCGAAGGCAGCUCACUGGACUGCAACUGACACUGAGGCUCGAAAGUGUGGGUAUCAAACAGGAUUAGAUACCCUAGUAGUC